rnacentral:rRNA from 1 species
AUGAUGCAUUCAAAGAAGCUUGCUCAACUUGCCAAGAAGUGCAAGAGGCUGGUGGCAGCUGGUGGGCAGCAGACUGCAGACACCGACGGAUGCUGCAGCACUGCUUCUGUUGCAGACAGGGGCCACUGUGUCAUGUACACUGUUGAUGGAUCACGGUUCGAGGUCCCUUUGGUGUGUACCUUGGCACAAUGGUCUUUGGUGAGCUCCUGA